rnacentral:rRNA from 1 species
UACGUAGGGUCCGAGCGUUGUCCGGAAUUAUUGGGCGUAAAGGGCUCGUAGGCGGUUUGUCGCGUCGGGAGUGAAAACGCCGGGCUUAACUCGGAAAGGUCAACUGAUACUGUGCGGCUAGAGUGCAGAAGGGGCAACUGGAAUUCUCGGUGUAGCGGUGAAAUGCGUAGAUAUCAGGAGGAACACCGAUGGCGAAGGCAGGUCUCUGGGCCACUACUGACGCUGAGAAGCGAAAGCAUGGGGAGCGAACAGG